GCAACAGGUGAGAAUCUGGUUUCUGACAUCUUGUUCUGCUCUACAGGUGAAGCUCAACAUCCACCUGCCGCUGGACAUUCACCUCCUUUAAGUUGUAUUACAGACUUUACAGCACAUCUGAAUGGCAUUGAAAGCUGUGCUGAAUACGCCAAACCUCCUCCUCCUCUGCAUUUCACCUCCUCCUUGAAGAGGAGCAAAUAAAAGUUUAUAAGUUGGACUUUCAGGAACAACAGCGCAUUUCCAGCUGUGGUCAAAAAGAAUAAAUUGGCUGUAAUUACAGAUGACCAAUCUGUCACCAAACUGACCCUCUUUGAGGAAAUUUCCUCCAAAAUUUCCCAAGGAAAGAUUCUGUGAUACGAGGAUAAGCCCUAUAUUAUAUCAGCAUCAAUAAAUACCCAGAUAUUUAUAGAAGCUCCCAGUGAUGUGCAGAGAUGGGUUGAUGGAGGAGGAGGAGCUCUCCUUCAUCCCCGUCUCUGCACCUAAGCCAGGAUGAGUGCCACGGACACGACGGCCUGCUAACGGUGGAAGGAAAGAUUUUACAGAUGGAGACGACUAGAGGAGGCUGAGGGAGUCCAGAGACGAUGGAGACGGACACCAAGGGAGUGAUGGAGAUCAUCCUGAAAAGUGGGAGAUGUUAGGAGGAGGAGGGGAGGAGCUGUGGGCACCACCUGGGGAGAAAUUUAAUAAAGGAAAGCUACUUGUAGACAUGAAAAUAAAAAACAGCGUCAUGAUAUCUGGGCCAUGGAG